GUGAGGAAUAUUGGUCAAUGGGCGAAAGCCUGAACCAGCCAUGUCGCGUGAAGGAUGAAGGUCCUAUGGAUUGUAAACUUCUUUUGCAGGAGGGUAAAGUGAGCUACGUGUAGUUCAUUGCAAGUACCCUGCGAAUAAGCAUCGGCUAACUCCGUGCCAGCAGCCGCGGUAAUACGGAGGAUGCGAGCGUUAUCCGGAUUUAUUGGGUUUAAAGGGUGCGUAGGCGGACUAAUUAGUCAGCGGUGAAAUUUUGCGGCUCAACCGUAAAACUGCCGUUGAAACUGUUAGUCUUGAGUGCGGUAGAGGUAGGCGGAAUGUGUGGUGUAGCGGUGAAAUGCUUAGAUAUCACACAGAACACCGAUUGCGUAGGCAGCUUACUGGGAUGCAACUGACACUGAUGCACGAAAGCGUGGGUAUCAAACAGGAUUAGAAACCCGGGUAGUCC
rnacentral:rRNA from 1 species